UGGUUUCCAUCAGAUAGAAGUAGUAGAUCCCACCCAGCACCACCAACAUCUUGUAGACGUAAUCCGAAAGCUCAGAGUGGUGGCCGACUUCGUGCGUGUGCACGUGCAGCCCCAGAAACUAAACACACGGUUACGAUGCAGUGAUGUAGACGGCUCACCAUGGGCAGCAGAUGCAGCAAGGCGUCCCCCGUGAGCGAGCCCACAGCCAGGCUGAUGCAGAACUGGAUGCACAGCUGGAAGACGCUGGUGCACGACGUGCACAGCAGCAACACGAUCCCGAACAUGGACAUCAACGUGAUGAUCACGUUGGCCAGGGUCGCGUACAGGUACCCUGACACGAGAGCGUCAAAGCCAAAAUGUCAACGAUUUACUGGAAGGCUAAUAAAGUCUACACAUAAUCAGCAAGAUGUUUCGUUAGGUACUGCUGUUUUGGUUAGCAACAGUGUUGAAAUGAACUCAGCGGUUAAGUCUUCUGACACUUACUCUCCGUUUUGCUGAGCUCGUCUGGUUUCGUCGGGCGCGAGCCAGCGCAGGCCCCGCUCAGGAUCUGCUGGAUUAGCGCCGGGCUAAGACGAGCCAGGUCAGAGCGACCCAGGUUGGGGGAGUCCACAGUCAGGUUGUGGAUCUGUACCAGCUCGUGCGCAGAGAAACAGUGCUAGGAGAAUCAGAACAUUCUGUCAUUUUUAAACGCUUUAAUGCCACCUAACCUUCAAUGACGUCUUUACCUCCUCCCAGGUGCCGUUCAUUUCAGAAUGCCUGAGUUGCUUGCCGUGAUCGUGAUGCUCGUGUUCGUCGUGCCCGUGGUCGGACUCCAGCUCGGGUCCAAUGUUUAGAGAAGCCAUGAGCGCCUCCAAGUCUACAAGGUGCACGAUGUAAUCCAGGAAGAAACCUUCUUCGGGGAGUGUUUGAAAGCAUCGACCUCGCAGGGCGUGAUACAAGACCCGGCCCAGAACUGCACCAGCCACUUGGGCCAGAUCCGAAUCACUCAACCACCGCUUAUGCAAAUUCGUGUAACAUCUCAAGUUGGGACCGCGGUGAGCCCAGAAGACACCCUGCUAAAAGAUCAUCUUUUAUGGGAAGUGUUCCACCUCCUGCCCCCACCUUCCCUGGUCCGCCGCGGCGCACACCGUGUCAGGAGAGGACAGGUACAGAACGCAGCCAGCGGCGAGGGCGGUGAAUUCCGACGCGUCUACACUGAGGACUUCCUCGACGCCUGCCUGACGAUGGUCACUGUGAUUGUGGAUCAGCUGGUGAACAGCGUCGAACACCUUCAAGUUCCUGGGAUCCACAACCUCUCAGGACCUGAAAUGCACCGGCAACAUAGACUCUGAGGCCCAGCAGAGGCUGUACUUUGAGACAGCUUGAGUUCACCCUGCCACAGUAUCUGCUGAAGACCUUCUAGACUGCGAUCAUACAUCCUCUGCACCUCCAUCACUGUCUUUCCCCAGGAUGUUGAACUGUUGAACUCGUGCCACUCACAGAGUGCCAGAGACAUCACUGGGCAAUAAUAUCUUCUUGCCACGUAAAUGUUGUUAGUCACUUAAAUGUUGUACAGCGGUUGAGAUCUACCAGAGUUAAGCAUGCACAAACUUGACCAUAAAAGCUCAUUCUGAUGUCAAUUCAGGUAUCAAAAUAAAGUUUGAAUCAACAUGUA